rnacentral:rRNA from 1 species
UAGGGAAUCUUCCGCAAUGAACGCAAGUCUGACGGAGCAACGCCGCGUGAGUGAAGAAGGAUUUCGGUUCGUAAAACUCUGUUGUUAGAGAAGAACAGCGCAUAGAGUAACUGUUAUGCGUGUGACGGUAUCUAACCAGAAAGCCACGGCUAACUACGUGCCAGCAGCCGCGGUAAUACGUAGGUGGCAAGCGUUGUCCGGAUUUAUUGGGCGUAAAGCGAGCGCAGGCGGUCAAUUAAGUCUGAUGUGAAAGCCCCCGGCUCAACCGGGGAGGGUCAUUGGAAACUGGUUGACUUGAGUGCAGAAGAGGAGAGUGGAAUUCCAUGUGUAGCGGUGAAAUGCGUAGAUAUAUGGAGGAACACCAGUGGCGAAGGCGACUCUCUGGUCUGUAACUGACGCUGAGGCUCGAAAGCGUGGGUAGCAAACAGG